AUACUUACCUGGCAGGGGAGAUACCAUGAUUAUGAAGGUGGUUUUCCUGGGGCAAAUCUUAUCCAUUGCACUCUGAAUGUGCUAACCCCUGCAAUUUCCCCAAAUUUGAGAAACUCGAGUGCAUAAUUUGUGGUAGUGGGGAAUGCGUUUGUGGUCUCCCCU